UACAUGGGGUGCAAACGUUGCUCGGAAUUAUUGGGCGUAAAGCGCGCGUAGGCGGUUACUCAAGUCGGAUGUGAAAGCCCUCGGCUUAACUGAGGAAGUGCACCCGAAACUGAGUAGCUAGAGUACUAAAGAGGGUCGCGGAAUUCCCGGUGUAGAGGUGAAAUUCGUAGAUAUCGGGAGGAACACCAAUGGCGAAGGCAGCUCACUGGGCCGAUACUGACGCUGAGGAGCGAAAGCGUGGGGAGCGAACAGG
rnacentral:rRNA from 1 species